rnacentral:rRNA from 1 species
AUUGAACGCUGGCGGCAGGCCUAACACAUGCAAGUCGAACGGUAACAGGAAGCAGCUUGCUGCUUUGCUGACGAGUGGCGGACGGGUGAGUAAUGUCUGGGAAACUGCCUGAUGGAGGGGGAUAACUACUGGAAACGGUAGCUAAUACCGCAUAAUGUCGCAAGACCAAAGAGGGGGACCUUCGGGCCUCUUGCCAUCGGAUGUGCCCAGAUGGGAUUAGCUAGUAGGUGGGGUAACGGCUCACCUAGGCGACGAUCCCUAGCUGGUCUGAGAGGAUGACCAGCCACACUGGAACUGAGACACGGUCCAGACUCCUACGGGAGGCAGCAGUGGGGAAUAUUGCACAAUGGGCGCAAGCCUGAUGCAGCCAUGCCGCGUGUAUGAAGAAGGCCUUCGGGUUGUAAAGUACUUUCAGCGGGGAGGAAGGCGAUAAGGUUAAUAACCUUGUCGAUUGACGUUACCCGCAGAAGAAGCACCGGCUAACUCCGUGCCAGCAGCCGCGGUAAUACGGAGGGUGCAAGCGUUAAUCGGAAUUACUGGGCGUAAAGCGCACGCAGGCGGUCUGUCAAGUCGGAUGUGAAAUCCCCGGGCUCAACCUGGGAACUGCAUUCGAAACUGGCAGGCUAGAGUCUUGUAGAGGGGGGUAGAAUUCCAGGUGUAGCGGUGAAAUGCGUAGAGAUCUGGAGGAAUACCGGUGGCGAAGGCGGCCCCCUGGACAAAGACUGACGCUCAGGUGCGAAAGCGUGGGGAGCAAACA